rnacentral:rRNA from 1 species
CCUACGGGGUGCAGCAGUGAGGAAUAUUGGUCAAUGGACGAGAGUCUGAACCAGCCAAGUAGCGUGAAGGAUGACUGCCCUAUGGGUUGUAAACUUCUUUUAUAUGGGAAUAAAAUGUUCCACGUGUGGGUUUUUGUAUGUACCAUAUGAAUAAGGAUCGGCUAACUCCGUGCCAGCAGCCGCGGUAAUACGGAGGAUCCGAGCGUUAUCCGGAUUUAUUGGGUUUAAAUGGAGCGUAGGUGGAUUGUUAAGUCAGUUGUGAAAGUUUGCGGCUCAACCGUAAAAUUGCAGUUGAAACUGGCAGUCUUGAGUACAGUAGAGGUGGGCGGAAUUCGUGGUGUAGCGGUGAAAUGCUUAGAUAUCACGAAGAACUCCGAUUGCGAAGGCAGCUCACUGGACUGCAACUGACACUGAGGCUCGAAAGUGUGGGUAUCAAACAGGAUUAGAUACCCCUGUAGUC